GUCUCUCUUGGCAACCACAUCCGUCCUCUGUGUCUGUUUGUGAAAUCCAAAGGGCGGAGAGCUGUGGCUACUGGUGGGUUGGGAGCAGCUUGUCUCUCCAAACAGGAAGAGUCCCUGUCUCCGAUGGACCUGAGCAGCUUGCGUUGCAAGGAGUCAGCCUGCACAUCAUUUAGAAUGGAUCCCUGCCACAUGAGCGGGCAUCCUGCCAGCUUUUUGUGGCACACAAUCUAGAUAUGAUCUAGAUUUGAGAAGUAGACACAGGAAUCAGGCCUAACUGGAAAAAAAUUUCAGAACGGU